AGCGAACGCUGGCGGCAGGCUUAACACAUGCAAGUCGAACGCCCCGCAAGGGGAGUGGCAGACGGGUGAGUAACACGUGGGAACGUACCCUUUGGUUCGGAAUAACUUGGGGAAACUCAAGCUAAUACCGGAUAAGCCCUUAUGGGGAAAGGUUUACUGCCGAAGGAUCGGCCCGCGUCUGAUUAGCUAGUUGGUGAGGUAAUGGCUCACCAAGGCGACGAUCAGUAGCUGGUCUGAGAGGAUGAUCAGCCACACUGGGACUGGGACACGGCCCAGACUCCUACGGGAGGCAGCAGUGGGGAAUAUUGGACAAUGGGGGCAACCCUGAUCCAGCCAUGCCGCGUGAGUGAUGAAGGCCUUAGGGUUGUAAAGCUCUUUUACCCGGGACGAUAAUGACUGUACCGGGAGAAUAAGCCCCGGCUAACUUCGUGCCAGCAGCCGCCGCCG
rnacentral:rRNA from 1 species